CACCCCCAAAUAUAAUUCCCCCAAAUAUAAGUCCCACGAAUAUAAGCCCAGUAGCCCACUACUUUAUUCAACAUUUACAUUGUCUUUUAAUAUAGCAGAGAAUGAUAUUUAAAAACAUUGUCAGAAAUUGUCUUAAUAGCUGCUUACUAUGUGAAUCAAAGUGUGUUAGUAAUCCAUGUCUAUUACUAACACAAAAUAUCAUCCAUGUAUUAGCCCCCCCCCCCCCUAUAUAAGCUCAAUCUUGUAUUAAUAGCCUAUACUGUAUAGGCAAGGUAAUGCCAUGGUAAGAUAUAAGUGUAAUAUUUAUGAUUUUUUUCUGGCAUAUCACUUGAAUUAACUAACUUAAUAGUGUUGCUGGGUUGUAUAGAUGGAAAUACCAAGUGCAAAUUUUAUUUAUACCUAAGGAGCAGUUGCAAAAAAUUGCAACUAUAGGCCAUCUGGCAGGAAUUGAACCUGCGUGCCAGCUAGUCCAGCACUUAAACCAACUGAGCUACAGAGUGUAGCUUAUAGUUGUCGAGCUCGAACUGCAAGUUCAUGUAUAUACUGUAUAGGCAAGGUAAUGUCAUGGUUAGAUAUAAUUGUAACAUUCAUGAUUGUUUUUGGCAUAUCACUUGAAUGAACUAGUGUUGCUGGGUUGUAAAUCUAUGGAAAUACUAAGUAUAUUAAUUAAUGUCAUACAUUUAUUAGACUUAACUACAAUCAGCUGCAAAAAAUGCAAUUAUAUGCCCUCUGGCAGGAACUGAACCUGCAGCUCCAUGCACUACCAACUACCAAAUGAGCUACAUAUUGCUGUUGUUGAGCUCCACCCACAAGUAUACUGAAAGUCUGAACGACUAUAAGCCCCCCCCCCC